UACGUAGGGGGCAAGCGUUGUCCGGAAUCAUUGGGCGUAAAGAGCGCGUAGGCGGCCCGAUAAGUCCGCUGUGAAAGUCAAGGGCUCAACCCUUGAAUGCCGGUGGAUACUGUCGGGCUAGAGUCCGGAAGAGGCGAGUGGAAUUCCUGGUGUAGCGGUGAAAUGCGCAGAUAUCAGGAGGAACACCAAUGGCGAAGGCAGCUCGCUGGGAUGGUACUGACGCUGAGGCGCGAAAGCGUGGGGAGCAAACAGG
rnacentral:rRNA from 1 species